CAAAGCAUUAAAACCGGCUUUGCUCGAGGAGGUCAAGAAGGGGUAGAGGGUAAGGGGAGGGAGUGCGAAAGGUGUGCCCCGCUGUCUUAGAUCGUUAGGGAUCGGCGGCCUUAAGCUGCCAGCAUCGGCCGCUCUCAGGUGGCGGCUGUCCUUCUCGGAGAGGCCAACCUUGCUGGUGGGUGUAGCCCCCACUCCCCUUGGCGCGACCGCAGCUGGCUGCCCUCUCUGCGCCGCGCCGCCCGCGCCGCCCCUCUUCUCUCCUUCCCCCGCGCGCACCCGCCGACCGGCUGCCCUUGGUUGCACAGAGACGGUGUAGAUGCUUGACGUCUUGUUGUCAAAGUAGUCCUCACUGUAUCUGUUUGUAAAACUCUUGUUCUGUGUCCGAUUCGGCUACGCUUAGUUAAAGCAAGGGCUGUGAGUCCAAGAACUGUUCCUCUUAGGUUUCCUCAGCCCGGUGAUUUCUAUUCCAUAAGGACCGUUGACGUUUAUUUUAAUACCUCCCCUAAUUUAGUUUACGGGUUUCGUCCUGUUGUCCUCUUUGUUUCCACGUUCUGUUAUCUCUUCUAUGUUAAGUUCUAAGUCGUUGAAAAUAGAUGGUAGGUCAAGAUGUUCCGUGCCCCCACGUUCUUGUCCCCUGUUCUAGGUUCAGUACAAGACGUUUGUGAAACAAUGUCCCCCGUUAAAAACGUUGAUCUUCUAAUCCCCCCUCCCCCUGUCUCACCCUUUAGGUGAUCAAGAUCUUGAUUUUCUUCAAGUACCGGUUUUAUCAACCUUGUUGUGAAAAUGGAAACGACAAAAAGUAACCCUCUUUGAACGGGUCGAGACGGUUAUAAAAACGGGUGUUAAGUGGUCUUUAAAACGGACUAGUCGUACUUCUCAACGUCUAUGUUAAUGCAAAAGUCUUAAAGGAGUACUAGAAAACGGAACAAAAGCAGAGAUAAAAUGAGACAA
rnacentral:rRNA from 1 species